AUGAACGAGACGUUGCUUAACACAUCAAGUCGAACGAUCCCUUUUUUGGAUGGGUUAGUGCAGACGGGUGUGUAACACGUAGGCACUGCCAUAAAGUGGGGAAUAACUAUCCUAAAGGAGAGUUAAUACCGCAUAUGCUCCGUGGUUCGUUCUCCCGAGUAAAGCUCGCAAGGGCGCCUUAGGAUGGGCAUGCGGCGGAUCAGCUAGUUGGUGGGGUAAUGGCCUACCAAGUCGAUGAUCCGUAGCGGGCGUGAGAGCGUGGCCCCCCACAUCGGCAGUGAGAUACGGGCCAGACUCUUACGGGAGGCAGCAGUGAGGAAUAUUGCACAAUGGGCGAAAGCCUGAUGCGGCAACGCCGCCGAGGGACGAAGGCCUUCGGGUUGUAAACCUCUUCUAUGGGGGACGAGACAAGGACGGUACCUCAGGAAUAAGUCUCGGCUAAAUACGUG
rnacentral:rRNA from 1 species